UACGUAGGGCGCAAGCGUUGUCCGGAAUUAUUGGGCGUAAAGAGCUCGUAGGCGGUUUGUCGCGUCUGCUGUGAAAACCUAAGGCUCAACCUUGGGCUUGCAGUGGGUACGGGCAGACUAGAGUGCGGUAGGGGUGACUGGAAUUCCUGGUGUAGCGGUGGAAUGCGCAGAUAUCAGGAGGAACACCGGUGGCGAAGGCAGCUCGCUGGGACGGUACUGACGCUGAGGCGCGAAAGCGUGGGGAGCAAACAGG
rnacentral:rRNA from 1 species